CCUACGGGCGGCUGCAGUGGGGAAUAUUGGACAAUGGGGGAACCCUGAUCCAGCCAUGCCGCGUGUGUGAAGAAGGCCCUCGGGUUGUAAAGCACUUUCAGUGAGGAAGAACGCCUGGUGGUUAAUACCCAUCAGGAAAGACAUCACUCACAGAAGAAGCACCGGCUAACUCCGUGCCAGCAGCCGCGGUAAUACGGAGGGUGCGAGCGUUAAUCGGAAUUACUGGGCGUAAAGCGCGCGUAGGUGGCUUGAUAAGCCGGUUGUGAAAGCCCCGGGCUCAACCUGGGAACGGCAUCCGGAACUGUCAAGCUAGAGUGCAGGAGAGGAAGGUAGAAUUCCCGGUGUAGCGGUGAAAUGCGUAGAGAUCGGGAGGAAUACCAGUGGCGAAGGCGGCCUUCUGGACUGACACUGACACUGAGGUGCGAAAGCGUGGGUAGCAAACAGGAUUAGAUACCCUAGUAGUC
rnacentral:rRNA from 1 species